rnacentral:ncRNA from 1 species
UGAAUCCGCGCGGGAGAGUUCCCAGCGGCGCUUUGUGAAGCGCUCGCGGGACGCCGAAGGAGCAAGUCCCUCCCUUGAAUCUCUCAGGCCCCGUUACCGCGCGGGCGAG